rnacentral:hammerhead_ribozyme from 1 species
GCACUGCUGAGGAGUCCCACAAUAGGAUGACACGAUCGUCCAGUGC